rnacentral:ncRNA from 1 species
ACCCCUGUGAGGAUGCCCUACAGUUCUCCCGCGAGAACAAGGAGCUGGUAUCAGGCACACCCAUUCAGCCUACGACACCUUGCUUAGCCACACCCCCAAGGGAACUCAGCAGUGAUAGACAUUAAGCUAUAAGUGAAAACUCGACUUAGUUAAAGCUAAGAGGGCCGGUAAAACUCGUGCCAGCCACCGCGGUUAUACGAGAGGCCCAAGUUGACAGAUACCGGCGUAAAGAGUGGUUAAGAUUCCUUAUUCAACUAAAGCCGAACGCCUCCAGAACUGUUAUACGCCCCCGGAGGUAAGAAGUUCCACCACGAAAGUGGCUUUAUUUAACCUGAACCCACGAAAGCUAUGUCACAAACUGGGAUUAGAUACCCCACUAUGCUUAGCCGUAAACAUUGAUACAACCCUACCCCACCAUCCGCCCGGGAACUACGAGCAUCAGCUUGAAACCCAAAGGACUUGGCGGUGCUUUAGACCCACCUAGAGGAGCCUGUUCUAGAACCGAUAACCCCCGUUCAACCUCACCCUCCCUUGUUUCUCCCGCCUAUAUACCGCCGUCGUCAGCUUACCCUGUGAAGGUUUAAUAGUAAGCAAAAUUGGCAGAGCCCAAAACGUCAGGUCGAGGUGUAGCGUAUGAGAGGGGAAGAAAUGGGCUACAUUCAUUAAUUUAAUGAACCACGGAAGACGUACUGAAAACGUAUGUCUGAAGGAGGAUUUAGCAGUAAGUGGAGAAUAGAGUGCCCCACUGAAACUGGCCCUGAAGCGCGCACACACCGCCCGUCACUCUCCCCAGACUACUAACUUUGAUAACUAAUACCUUAAGAUCUCUAAGGGGAGGCAAGUCGUAACAUGGUAAGUGUACCGGAAGGUGCACUUGGAAAAAU